GAAUUCGCCCUUAGAGUUUGAUCCUGGCUCAGGAUGAACGCUGGCGGCGUGCUUAACACAUGCAAGUCGAACGAGAGAUGAGGAGCUUGCUCUUCAAAUCGAGUGGCGAACGGGUGAGUAACGCGUGAGGAACCUGCCUCAAAGAGGGGGACAACAGUUGGAAACGACUGCUAAUACCGCAUAAGCCCACGGCUCGGCAUCGAGCAGAGGGAAAAGGAGCAAUCCGCUUUGAGAUGGCCUCGCGUCCGAUUAGCUAGUUGGUGAGGUAACGGCCCACCAAGGCGACGAUCGGUAGCCGGACUGAGAGGUUGAACGGCCACAUUGGGACUGAGACACGGCCCAGACUCCUACGGGAGGCAGCAGUGGGGAAUAUUGCACAAUGGGGGAAACCCUGAUGCAGCGACGCCGCGUGGAGGAAGAAGGUCUUCGGAUUGUAAACUCCUGUUGUUGAGGAAGAUAAUGACGGUACUCAACAAGGAAGUGACGGCUAACUACGUGCCAGCAGCCGCGGUAAAACGUAGGUCACAAGCGUUGUCCGGAAUUACUGGGUGUAAAGGGAGCGCAGGCGGGAGAACAAGUUGGAAGUGAAAUCCAUGGGCUCAACCCAUGAACUGCUUUCAAAACUGUUUUUCUUGAGUAGUGCAGAGGUAGGCGGAAUUCCCGGUGUAGCGGUGGAAUGCGUAGAUAUCGGGAGGAACACCAGUGGCGAAGGCGGCCUACUGGGCACCAACUGACGCUGAGGCUCGAAAGUGUGGGUAGCAAACCAGGAUUAGAUACCCUGGUAGUCCACACCGUAAACGAUGAAUACUAGGGGUCGGGGCUCAUAAGAGCUUCGUGCCGCAG
rnacentral:rRNA from 1 species